GGGGGGGNACGCUGGCGGCAGGCCUAACACAUGCUAGUCGAGCGCUCACUUCGGUGGGAGCGGCGGACGGNUUAGUAACGCGUGGGAACGCGCCCAGNAUCUAAGGAAUAGCCACUGGAAACGGUGAGUAAUACCUUAUACGCCCUUCGGGGGAAAGAUUUAUCGGAUUUGGAUCGGCCCGCGUUAGAUUAGAUAGUUGGUGGGGUAAUGGCCUACCAAGUCUACGAUCUAUAGCUGGUUUUAGAGGAUGAUCAGCAACACUGGGACUGAGACACGGCCCAGACUCCUACGGGAGGCAGCAGUGGGGAAUCUUGGACAAUGGGGGCAACCCUGAUCCAGCCAUGCCGCGUGAGUGAUGAAGGCCUUAGGGUCGUAAAGCUCUUUCGCCAGGGAUGAUAAUGACAGUACCUGGUAAAGAAACCCCGGCUAACUCCGUGCCAGCAGCCGCGGUAAUACGGAGGGGGUUAGCGUUGUUCGGAAUUACUGGGCGUAAAGCGCGCGUAGGCGGAUUGGAAAGUUGGGGUGAAAUCCGGGGCUCA
rnacentral:rRNA from 1 species